rnacentral:rRNA from 1 species
GACGAACGCUGGCGGCGUGCUUAACACAUGCAAGUCGAACGGAAGGGCCCUGCUUUUGUGGGGUGCUCGAGUGGCGAACGGGUGAGUAACACGUGAGUAACCUGCCCUUGACUUUGGGAUAACUUCAGGAAACUGGGGCUAAUACCGGAUAGGAGCUCCUGCUGCAUGGUGGGGGUUGGAAAGUUUCGGCGGUUGGGGAUGGACUCGCGGCUUAUCAGCUUGUUGGUGGGGUAGUGGCUUACCAAGGUUUUGACGGGUAGCCGGCCUGAGAGGGUGACCGGCCACAUUGGGACUGAGAUACGGCCCAGACUCCUACGGGAGGCAGCAGUGGGGAAUAUUGCACAAUGGGCGGAAGCCUGAUGCAGCAACGCCGCGUGCGGGAUGACGGCCUUCGGGUUGUAAACCGCUUUCGCCUGUGACGAAGCGUGAGUGACGGUAAUGGGUAAAGAAGCACCGGCUAACUACGUG